rnacentral:rRNA from 1 species
UGCCUAAUACAUGCAAGUAGAACGCUGAAGACUUUAGNCUUGCUAAAGUUGGAAGAGUUGCGAACGGGUGAGUAACGCGUAGGUAACCUGCCUACUAGCGGGGGAUAACUAUUGGAAACGAUAGCUAAUACCGCAUAACAGCAUUUAACACAUGUUAGAUGCUUGAAAGGAGCAAUUGCUUCACUAGUAGAUGGACCUGCGUUGUAUUAGCUAGUUGGUGAGGUAACGGCUCACCAAGGCGACGAUACAUAGCCGACCUGAGAGGGUGAUCGGCCACACUGGGACUGAGACACGGCCCAGACUCCUACGGGAGGCAGCAGUAGGGAAUCUUCGGCAAUGGGGGCAACCCUGACCGAGCAACGCCGCGUGAGUGAAGAAGGUUUUCGGAUCGUAAAGCUCUGUUGUAAGAGAAGAACGUGUGUGAGAGUGGAAAGUUCACACAGUGACGGUAACUUACCAGAAAGGGACGGCUAACUACGUGCCAGCAGCCGCGGUAAUACGUAGGUCCCGAGCGUUGUCCGGAUUUAUUGGGCGUAAAGCGAGCGCAGGCGGUUUAAUAAGUCUGAAGUUAAAGGCAGUGGCUUAACCAUUGUUCGCUUUGGAAACUGUUAGACUUGAGUGCAGAAGGGGAGAGUGGAAUUCCAUGUGUAGCGGUGAAAUGCGUAAAUAUAUGGAGGAACACCGGGUGGCGAAAGCGGCUCUCUGGGUCUGUAACUGAC